AUAAAGUGCUAUCUGGCAUUCUGAGUACAAGAAGACCUCCCAGAAAAAAUAAGUGUUUCAGAUAGCUUUAUUCAGGCAUGAGUUACAGUGCUAUUGGCCAUUCAAUUUUAAUAUAUUAAUAUAAAAUAAUAUAUCUUUAAACAGAAACAACGUAAAAACAAUGUUACAUGUUGGUUGACUGACGGAAGUCAGUGAUGAGAGUCUCCCAGGAACCUCUCUAUUUUUCCUGGAAGCAGUGGUUCAGCAUUCACUACUUCAAUGGCUCCAAGGACUUUACCAUAGGUAACAAGAGUCAUCUGUCACUUUGUUAAUUUUUUUUUUUUUUUUUUUUUGAGACGAAGUCUCGCUCUUGUUCCCCAGGCUGGAGUGCGAUGGCGCAAUCUCAGCUCACUGUAACCUCCGCCUCCUGGGUUCAAACGAUUCCCCUGCCUCAGCCUCCCGAAUAGCUGGGAUUACAGAUGCCUGCCACCGUGCCUGGCUAAUUUUUGUAUUUUUAGUAGAGACGGGGUUUCACCAUGUUGGCCAGGCUGGUCUCCAACUCCUGACCUCAGGUGAUCUGCCUGCCUUGGCCUCCCAUAAUGCUGGAAUUACAGGCGUGAGCCACCGCACCUGGCCAUCUUUUUAAACAUUUUUAUUGAGAUAUAAUUCACAUAAAAAGUUGACCCAUUUGGAGUGUACAAGUCAAUGACUUUUUAAGACAGGUUGAGUAUCCCUGAUCCAAAAUGCUUGGGACAGAAGUGUUUUGAAUUUCAGAUUUGGAGGUACGUGUAUUAUCAGUUGAACAUUCCUAAUCCAAAAAUCUGAAAUGCUGUAGUGAGCAUUUCCCUUGAGUGUCAUGUCGAUGCCCAAAAAGUUUCAGAUUUAGGAGCUUUUUGGAUUUCAAAUUUUCAGAUUAGGAAUGCUCAACCUGAUAUUCAGAAUUGUGGAACUAUCACCACAAUUUAAAUUUAGAACAUUUUAUCACCCCCAAAAAACCCUAUAUCUAUUAAUGGUCACCCUCACACCUACUUCCCCAGCACUGGGCAACCACUAAUCUACUUUCUGUCUCUAGAUGUCCCUAUUAUGCACAGUUUGUAUAAAUGAAUUAUCACUUAGGCCUUUUGUCUGGCAUCUUUCACUUAGCAUGUCUUCACAGCUUAUCCUUAGUAUAGCGUAUACUUCAUUCCUUUUUAUAGUUGAACAACAUUCCCUUGUAUGGAUAUACCACAUUUUAUUUAUUAUUUGGUAGACAUUUGGGGAUUUUUUUGUUUUUGUUUUUGCUAUUAUGAAUGCAGCUGUACUCUUUCAUGUACAACUUUUGUGUGCAAAUGUUUUCAUUUCUGUUAGAUACCUAGGAGUGGAAUUAUUGAGUCAUGCUGGUUAGCUUUUUGAGGAACUACCAAACUUGCAAAGCGGCUACACCAUUUUGCAUUCCCACCAGCAAGGUAUGAGGGCUCCAACUUCUGCACAUCCUAGAGCUUCUUGAUCGCUCAUGAAGAGAAGACUCAAUCUGGGACCAUUUAGAUGUAAUAAAGCACUUUGCCCUCCCCCAAAAAGUUGUGAGACUGCAAUUCUUUGAAAGGUGUUUUUAAUUCUCUCAAUUUGCCUCUUCUGCCUUCUCUCACUUUAUUGGAUUUUAACUCAUUUUCCUGUGCCCGAGCUUCAGUCAUGAAAAAAUCCAUAAUGUCCUCCCAUCUGGUAGAGGUCACAUUGUAAUGGGAGUGGCCACCACUGAACACCUAAAGUGCAAAUACACAAUUACAGUUACAUGAAAAGCAAUGAAGAAAAGUUACUAGGAGAGAAUUACAAAGGGGGCAUAAAUGCGUUUAGGGAUGUCUAAGGGUGUAACAUUUAAACAGGCCUAAAAGAUGAACAGAAGCCAUCCAGGGAAAGAGUAAACUGAAAUGCCUUCCAUUCAGGGAAAAGCCUGUGCAAUGACCUGACUUAGGAGAAAGUCUAGCAGUUCCACAUACCUGAAAGAAGGGCAACAUGUCUGGAACCUAGUGAGCCAGGGGCAAGAGUGGUAGGGAAAUGAG
rnacentral:lncRNA from 10 species